GAUGAACGCUGGCGGCGUGCCUAAUACAUGCAAGUCGAGCGAAAAGACGAGGAGAUUGCUCCUCUGACGUUAGCGGCGGACGGGUGAGUAACACGUGGAUAACCUACCUCUAUGACUGGGGUAACUUCGGGAAACCGGAGCUAAUAAUGGAUAAUAUAUUCAACCGCAUGGUUCAAUAGUGAAAGACGGUUUUGCUGACACUUAUAGAUGGAUCCGCGCCGCAUUAGCUAGUUGGUAAGGUAACGGCCUACCAAGGCAACGAUGCGUAGCCGACCUGAGAGGGUGAUCAGCCACACUGGAACUGAGACACGGUCCAGACUCCUACGGGAGGCAGCAGUAGGGAAUCUUCGGCAAUGGGCGAAAGCCUGACGGAGCAACACCGCGUGAGUGAUGAAGGUCUUCGGAUCGUAAAACUCUGUUAUUAGGGAAGAAAAAAUGUGUAAGUAACCAUGGACGUCUUGACGGUACCUAAUCAGAAAGCCACGGCUAACUACGUG
rnacentral:rRNA from 1 species